GGAGUCUGGUCCGUGUCUCAGUACCAGUGUGGGGGACCUUCCUCUCAGAACCCCUACGCAUCGUAGCCUUGGUGGGCCGUUGCCCCGCCAACUAGCUAAUGCGCCGCAUGCCCAUCCCCUACCGACGGAUCUUUCCCCGCGCAACGAUGCCGACGCGCGGACUACGGGGCAUUAGGCCAAAUUUCUCUGGGUUAUUCCCCUGUAGGGGCAGGUUGCAUACGUGUUACGCACCCUUCCGCCGGUCGCCGCCAGGUAUUGCUACCCGCGAUGCCCCUCGACUUGCAUGUGUUAAGCCUGCCGCUAGCGUUCAUC
rnacentral:rRNA from 1 species